GACGAACGCUGGCGGCGUGCUUAACACAUGCAAGUCGAACGGAAAGGCCCUGCUUUUGUGGGGUGCUCGAGUGGCGAACGGGUGAGUAACACGUGAGUAACCUGCCCUUGACUUUGGGAUAACUUCAGGAAACUGGGGCUAAUACCGGAUAGGAGCUCCUGCUGCAUGGUGGGGGUUGGAAAGUUUCGGCGGUUGGGGAUGGACUCGCGGCUUAUCAGCUUGUUGGUGGGGUAGUGGCUUACCAAGGCUUUGACGGGUAGCCGGCCUGAGAGGGUGACCGGCCACAUGGGGACUGGGAUACGGCCCAGACUCCUACGGGAGGCAGCAGUGGGGAAUAUUGCACAAUGGGCGGAAGCCUGAUGCAGCAACGCCGCGUGCGGGAGGACGGCCUUCGGGUUGUAAACCGCUUUCGCCUGUGACGAAGCGUGAGUGACGGAAAUGGGUAAAGAAGCACCGGCUAACUACGU
rnacentral:rRNA from 1 species